CCUACGGGAGGCAGCAGUAGGGAAUAUUGCUCAAUGGGGGAAACCCUGAAGCAGCAACGCCGCGUGGAGGAUGAAGGUUUUCGGAUUGUAAACUCCUUUUGUUAGAGAAGAUAAUGACGGUAUCUAACGAAUAAGCCCCGGCUAACUCCGUGCCAGCAGCCGCGGUAAUACGGAGGGUGCAAGCGUUACUCGGAAUUACUGGGCGUAAAGGGCGCGUAGGCGGGGUAGCAAGUCAGAUGUGAAAUCCUAUGGCUUAACCAUAGAACUGCAUUUGAAACUGUUAUUCUAGAGUAUGGGAGAGGUAGGUGGAAUUCUUGGUGUAGGGGUAAAAUCCGUAGAGAUCAAGAGGAAUACUCAUUGCGAAGGCGACCUGCUAGAACAUAACUGACGCUGAUGCGCGAAAGCGUGGGGAGCAAACAGGAUUAGAUACCCUUGUAGUC
rnacentral:rRNA from 1 species